CCUACGGGGGGCAGCAGUGAGGAAUAUUGGUCAAUGGACGCAAGUCUGAACCAGCCAAGUAGCGUGCAGGAUGACGGCCCUCUGGGUUGUAAACUGCUUUUAGUUGGGAAUAAAAAAGAGGACGUGUCCUCUAUUGUAUGUACCUUCAGAAAAAGGACCGGCUAAUUCCGUGCCAGCAGCCGCGGUAAUACGGAAGGUCCAGGCGUUAUCCGGAUUUAUUGGGUUUAAAGGGAGCGUAGGCGGAUUCUUAAGUCAGUGGUGAAAGACGGUGGCUCAACCAUCGUUAGCCAAUGACACUGGU
rnacentral:rRNA from 1 species